rnacentral:rRNA from 1 species
CCUACGGGAGGCAGCAGUAGGGAAUUUUGCUCAAUGGGCGAAAGCCUGACGCAGCAACGCCGCGUGAACGAGACGCCCUUCGGGGUGUAAAGUUCUGUCAUUGGGGACGAAAAAUGACGGUACCCACAGAGGAAUCACUGGCUAACUCCGUGCCAGCAGCCGCGGUAAUACGGAGGGUGCAAGCGUUUUCCGGAAGCAUUGGGCGUAAAGCGUUCGUAGGCGGUAUGUAAAGUCAGUGGUGAAAGGGGGAGGCUCAACCUGUGUAUGGCACUUGAUACUUGCAAGCUGGAAUGCGGUAGAGGUAAAGGGAAUUCCUGGUGUAGCGGUGAAAUGCUUAGAUAUCAGGAGGAACAUCGGUGGCGUAAGCGCUUUACUGGGCCGUAAUUGACGCUGAGGAACGAAAGCCAGGGUAGCAAAUGGGAUUAGAUACCCGUGUAGUC